GAUGAACGCUGGCGGCGUGCCUAAUACAUGCAAGUCGAGCGAACGGACGAGAAGCUUGCUUCUCUGAUGUUAGCGGCGGACGGGUGAGUAACACGUGGAUAACCUACCUAUAAGACUGGGAUAACUUCGGGAAACCGGAGCUAAUACCGGAUGAUAUUUUGAACCGCAUGGUUCAAAAGUGAAAGACGGUCUUGCUGUCACUUAUAGAUUGACCCGCGCUGCAUUAGCUAGUUGGUAAGGUAACGGCUUACCAAGGCAACGAUGCAUAGCCGACCUGAGAGGGUGCUCGGCCACACUGGAACUGAGACACGGUCCAGACUCCUACGGGAGGCAGCAGUAGGGAAUCUUCCGCAAUGGGCGAAAGCCUGACGGAGCAACGCCGCGUGAGUGAUGAAGGUCUUCGGAUCGUAAAACUCUGUUAUUAGGGAAGAACAUAUGUGUAAGUAACUGUGCACAUCUUGACGGUACCUAAUCAGAAAGCCACGGCUAACUACGUG
rnacentral:rRNA from 1 species